rnacentral:rRNA from 1 species
GAGGAAAAGAAACCAACAGGGAUUGCCUCAGUAACGGCGAGUGAAGCGGCAAAAGCUCAAAUUUGAAAUCUAGCACCUUCGGUGUUCGAGUUGUAAUUUGAAGAUGGUAACCUUGGGUUUGGCUCUUGUCUAUGUUCCUUGGAACAGGACGUCAUAGAGGGUGAGAAUCCCGUCUGAUGAGAUGCCCAUUCCUAUGUAAGGUGCUAUCGAAGAGUCGAGUUGUUUGGGAAUGCAGCUCUAAGUGGGUGGUAAAUUCCAUCUAAAGCUAAAUAUUGGCGAGAGACCGAUAGCGAACAAGUACAGUGAUGGAAAGAUGAAAAGAACUUUGAAAAGAGAGUGAAAAAGUACGUGAAAUUGUUGAAAGGGAAGGGCAUUAGAUCAGACUUGGUGUUUUACGAUUAUCUUCUCUUCUUGAGUUGUGCACUCGUAUUUCACUGGGCCAGCAUCGAUUCGGAUGGCAAGAUAAUGGCAGUUGAAUGUGGCUUCACUUCGGUGGAGUGUUAUAGCUUCUGCUGAUAUUGCCUGUCUGGAUCGAGGGCUGCGUCUUUUGACUAGGAUGCUGGCGUAAUGAUCUAAUGCCGCCCGU